rnacentral:tRNA from 1 species
ACUUAUAUAAUAUAAAAAGUAUAUUUGACUUCCAAUCAAAAAGUCUAAUUAUUUUAGUAUAAGUA